AACGAACGCUGGCGGCAUGCCUAACACAUGCAAGUCGAACGAGACCUUCGGGUCUAGUGGCGCACGGGUGCGUAACGCGUGGGAACCUGCCCUUAGGUUCGGAAUAACUCCCCGAAAGGGGUGCUAAUACCGGAUAAUGUCUUCGGACCAAAGAUUUAUCGCCCUUGGAUGGGCCCGCGUUGGAUUAGCUAGUUGGUAGGGUAAAAGCCUACCAAGGCGACGAUCCAUAGCUGGUCUGAGAGGAUGAUCAGCCACACUGGGACUGAGACACGGCCCAGACUCCUACGGGAGGCAGCAGUGGGGAAUAUUGGACAAUGGGCGAAAGCCUGAGCCAGCAAUGCCGCGUGAGUGAUGAAGGCCUUAGGGUUGUAAAGCUCUUUUACCCGGGAUGAUAAUGACAGUACCGGGAGAAUAAGCUCCGGCUAACUCCGUG
rnacentral:rRNA from 1 species